rnacentral:misc_RNA from 1 species
CCUCCACCUGUACCAGCGGAAAAGGGCUUAAAGAAUCUUCAUCACCAAUAUCCAUGUCAUCCCUUAUGGUAUAAUAGUCAUAUACAUAAUCAUCAGCUUGCUUGGAGAUGUAAUCUCGUACAUCAGUUUCAAUCUGUGCUGCAGCACUUGGAAUAAACUCUCUAAGUAGAGGUAGGUAGGUACUAAGAAUCCUCUGAUCCUCCAAAGACAAAACUCCCUGCUCUUGCAUCUCAUUGGAUCUUUCCUCAACAUCAACACGAACAACGUCAUAAAAAUGGCACAUGUCAUGGAGUUCCUUAUCAUGUGAAGUCUCUUUGUUUCCCCUUCGGCUCCUCCAUAUUUGUUCAAAACGAGCAUUUUGAGCCAAUAUCUCUUGAUUUUGUCUGGCCUUGGACAAAAGCUGCUCUUGUUUAUUAUUCUUUCUGAAGAUAUUCUGUUUCCGUUCUUUAUUUUUUGGAAUGUCUCGAACAGCAUCAGCAGAACUAGGCACAAAUGAUUGUAAUAUAUCAAUAGUGGCUUCCUUGCUG